CGCACUUGCAGCCACCCUGGGCAGGCAGUGGAAGGUGGGGCCGCGCUGCCUCUGGUGCGCAGAGGCAGAGGCCGCCAUUGACCACCGAAUCGGCUUGGCUAGAACUCAAAGCCUUGUGCCUGGCUGUCAGUCCCUACCUCACCACGUUGACACAGACUGUGUGGCUUUCAGUGUACCUUUCCACGUAUUUUCCUGUCCAGUCAGAUGAGGAGAGGGAACAGUCUGAGAGAACCACGAAACUGCCAAACCCAGUGGGCCCGAAUAUUCCUUCAAGAUUUCAAGAAAGCCGACCUUGAGGACGGCCACGGGGCCAACUGCAGUAUGGACAAGUCGUUCUUGUAGUUGCACAGAUGGCCAUUGACAAAAACAGCCCUGCUUGGGUGACUCCUGAGCCCUGAUACCCGAAUGAGUAUGAUCAAGCGGUGAUGGACCUGGAUCCGGCUGUGGGAGUGUCCUGAUGAGCCCUGGGCCAGCGGAGAAUUCCUGGGCGUUUCCAAGAUGGCCGAAUAGGAACAGCUCCAGUCUAUGGCUCCCAGCAUGAGCGACGCAGAAGAUGGGUGAUUUCUGCAUUUCCAACUGAGGUACUGAGUUCAUCUCACUGGGGCUUGUUGGACAGUGGGUGCAGAACAAUGGGUGCAGCACACUGAGCGUGAGCCGAAGCAGGGCAAUGCAUCACCUCACCUGGGAAGCAUAAGGGGUCAGGGAAUUCCUAGCCAAGCAAAGCUGUAACAGAUGGCACCUGGAAAAUCAGGUCACUCCCACCCUAAUACUGUGCUUUUCCAGUGGUCUUAGCAAACGGCACACCAGGAGAUUAUAUCCCAUGCCUGGCUCGGAGGGUCCCACACCCACGGAGCCUCGCUCAUUGGUAGCACAGCAGUCUGAGACCGAACUGCAAGGCAGCAGCAAGGCUGGGGGAGGGGCACCCCCAUUGCUGAGGCUUGCGUAGGUAAACAAAGUGGCCAGAAGCUCGAACUGAGUGGAGCCCACCACGGCUCAAGGAGGCCUGCCUGCCUCUAUAGACUCCACCUCUGGGGGCAGGGCAUAGCCAAACAAAAGACAGCAGAAACCUCUGCAGACUUAAAUGUCCCUGUCUGACAGCUUUGAAGAGAGUAGUGGUUCUCCCAGCAUGGAGUUUGAGAUCUGAGAACAGACAGACUGCCUCCUCAAGUUGGUCCCUGAUCCCUGAGUAGCCUAACUGGGAGGGACCACCCCUAAUAGGGGCAGACUGACACCUCACAUGGUUGGGUACCCCUCUGAGACGAAACUUCCAGAGGAAUGAUCAGACAGCAACAUUUGCUGUUCAGCAAUAUUCGCUGUUCUGCAGCCUCUGCUGCUGAUACCAAGGCAAACAGAAUCUGGGGUGGACCUCCAGCAAACUCCAACAGACCUGCAGCUGAGGGUCCUGACCGUUAGAGGGAAAACUAACAAACAGAAAGGACAUCCACACCAAAACCCCAUCUGUACGUCACCAUCAUCAAAGACCAAAGGUAGUUAAAACCACAAAGAUGGGGAAAAAACAGAGCAGAAAAACUGAAAAUUCUAAAAAUCAGAGCUCCUCUCCUCCUCCAAAGGAAUGCAGCUCCUCACCAGCAAUGGAACAAAGCUGGACAGAGAAUGACUUUGACAAGUUGAGAGAAGAAGGCUUCAGAUGAUCAAACUUCUCCAAGCUAAAGGAGGAAGUUCAAACCCAUCGCAAAGAAGUUAAAAACCUUGAAAAAAGAUUAGACGAAUGGCUAACUAGAAUAACCAAUGUGGAGAAGUCCUUAAAUGACCUGAUGGAGCUGAAAACCAAGGCACGAGAACUACGUGAUGAAUGCACAAGCUUCAGUAGCCGAUUCGAUCAACUGGAAGAAAGGGUAUCAGUGAUUGAAGAUCAAAUGAAUGAAAUGAAGAGAGAAGAGAAGUUUAGAAAAAAAAAAAAAAAGAAUAAAAAGAAACGAUCAAAGCCUCCAAGAAAUAGAGGACUAUGUAAAAAGACCAAAUCUAUGUCUGAUUGGUGUACCUGAAAGUGACGGGGAGAAUGGAACCAAGUUGGAAAACACUCUGCAGGAUAUUAUCCAGGAGAACUUCCCCAACCUAGCAAGGCAGGCCAACAUUCAAAUUCAGGAAAUAGAAUGCCACAAAGAUAUUCCUUGAGAAGAGCAACUCCAAGACACAUAAUUGUCAGAUUCACCAAAGUUGAAAUGAGGAAAAAACGUUAAGGGCAGCAAGAGAGAAAGGUUGGGUUACCCACAAAGGGAAGCCCAUCAGACUAACAGCUGAUCUCUCAGCAGAAACUCUACAAGCCAGAAGAGAGUGGGGUCCAGUAUUCAACAUUCUUAAAGAAAAGAAUUUUCAACCGAGAAUUUCAUAUCCAGCCAAACUAAGCUUCAUAAGUGAAGGAGAAAUAAAAUCCUUUACAGACAAGCAAAUGCUGAGAGAUUUUUUCACCACCAGGCCUGCCCUAAAAGAGCUCCUGAAGGAAGCACUAAACAUGGAAAGGAACAACUGGUACCAGCCACUGCAAAAACAUGCCAA
rnacentral:lncRNA from 10 species